rnacentral:rRNA from 1 species
UACUCGAGUGGCGAACGGGUGAGUAACACGUGGGUGAUCUGCACUGCACUUCGGGAUAAGCCUGGGAAACUGGGUCUAAUACCGGAUAGGACCACAUUUUGGAUGGUGUGGUGGAAAGUUUUUCGGUGUGGGAUGAGCUCGCGGCCUAUCAGCUUGUUGGUGGGGUAAUGGCCUACCAAGGCGUCGACGGGUAGCCGGCCUGAGAGGGUGUACGGCCACAUUGGGACUGAGAUACGGCCCAG